CAAUAGCGUAUAUUAAAGUUGUUGCAGUUAAAAAGCUCGUAGUUGGAUUUGUGGCGUACGGUGUGUUCCGGGCACUUGUUGUCUGAGUAACCUGCUGUUGCCAUCCUUGGGUGGAACCUGUGUGGCAUUAGGUUGUCGUGCAGGGGAUGCCCAUCAUUUACUGUGAAAAAAUUAGAGUGUUCAAAGCAGGCUUAUGCCGUUGAAUAUAUUAGCAUGGAAUAAUGAGAUAGGACUUUUUUGCUAUUUUGUUGGUUUGCGCAAGAAGGUAAUGAUUAAUAGGGACAGUUGGGGGUAUUCGUAUUCCAUUGUCAGAGGUGAAAUUCUUGGAUUUUUGGAAGACGAACUACUGCGAAAGCAUUUACCAGGGAUGUUUUCAUUAA
rnacentral:rRNA from 1 species